UACGAAGGGGGGCUAGCGUUGCUCGGAAUCACUGGGCGUAAAGGGUGCGUAGGCGGGUUUCUAAGUCAGAGGUGAAAUCCUGGAGCUCAACUUCGGAACUGCCUUUGAUACUGGGGAUCUCGAGUUCGGGAGAGGUGAGUGGAACUGCGAGUGUAGAGGUGAAAUUCGUAGAUAUUCGCAAGAACACCAGUGGCGAAGGCGGCUCACUGGCCCGAUACUGACGCUGAGGUGCGAAAGCGUGGGGAGCAAACAGGG
rnacentral:rRNA from 1 species